AAAGUCUUUCUCUUGCUUUUUUCUUCGUCUUCGUAUAAAUUCCUUUGAAAUAAAUUGAAAAAACCCUAGAAGUCUCAGAGAGCAAGAACCAUCAUUCUCAAGAUUUAAAGGUAUCUCAAGAAGUUCAAAGUCACAAGCCUCAAGUUCAAAG